AGGCACCAACUGCCUAUUCGGCAUAAUGGCGGCAGGUUGGAAUGGAGCCUGGAGCGCAGUCAUGUCCAAUGCUGGGUGUCCCCGGACUACAAGCGUCCCGAGGUUAUGAAAAUGAGGCUGUCGGCACAAUCACUUGCAGUGUUCAAAGACCCAUUAAAAGGAGGCUCCACACCCAUCACGGAGCCCAACAUGGGCCUUGAACCCACGAGUCCAAGAUCAAGACCUGAGCGGAGAUCAAGAGUUGGAUGCUUAACUGACUAAGCCACUCAGGUGCUGCUAUCCUUUUAUCAUUCUUAAAUGCUCUUCCAGUAUGAUAAAUAAGCAAGGCCUUAAUUAAUUAAUUAAUUAAUCAAUUACAUUAAUAUUUAGUGAAAACACAAAUGGCAUUUUCAAAAUAAGCCAUUCUUCUCAAAUUUGAAUGUGCAGAAGAAUCACCCAAGAAGCUUGUUUACAAAUGCAGUUUUCAGGGCCCACCAAUAAAAAUAUACUCAGUAGGUCUGGUAUAGAGCCUCGGAAAUGGAAUUUUAAAUGAUUAGUCAAGAUGAUUCUGAAAUAAAAAAAAAAGAUGAUUCUGAAAUAGGUGAUCCAUAGAAUGAUAAAGUGUUGCAUUCUUAUGAAAAACUUUCAUUAACUUAUAAUGUUUAUAUCCAGCAUUUUGCCAAAUAAAUUGGAGAGAAUAAAAGAUUUCUGACAAAAGUAGCUACCAAAUAUUAGUUCUUAAUAUAUUUUAGGCACAUACCUAAGGGAAGAACAGAACUUUCCAUAGUUACUAGCACAGGCCUGAAGAAAGAGGUAAUGUGCAAAGCAGCAAGGUGUGGAGAUAAUACCAGUGUUUCUCCCAGGGUAAUUGUAAGGAUUAAAUAAUUAACAUGAAGUGCUUAGAACAGUAACAGUCACAGAGUAAAACUUUCAUAAAAUUUUCUUGAUGAUUUUGACACUCUACAUUUUAUCGUUUAGACUGGACCAGAACAUAUAUUAUUCUUCUCUUGGAAACAGUGGUUAAAGAUGACCACCCAUUAAUCAGUUAGUAGGAACUAAAUAUUGCUGUCAGAUUCUAUUGCGUAUAUACUCUUAAUAGUUUGCAGUAUAUAAAUAUGAAGAGUGAAGUGUAUGUAGUUCUUAUGUCCAUGAGUUCAGACACCUUCCAAAAAUACCUAGCUGCUUCAAGCUGAAAAACACAAAAGAGAAAAACAAACAAAAGAACUUCUGUAUUAGGGCUUCCUAAUACAGGUUUCCUGGGGCUGCUGUGACAAAGCACCACAACUUUGGUUUUGGUUUAAACAACACAAAUGUAUCCAAGAGUCACAUGCUCUCCCGACUGAGCCAGCUAGGUGCUCCUCCCCUAUUAUUAACAUACUAGUACAUUUGUCACAACUAAUGACUUGUUAUUGAUACAUUAUCAGCAAGUAAAAUCCAUACUUUAUUCAUAUUUUCCGAGUUUUUAUCUACAAGUUUUUACCUAAUAUCCUUUUUUCUGUUCUUGGAUGCUAUCUUAGGUACCUUACUACAUCGGGUCCUCAUGUCUCCUUAGGCUCCCUUUGGUUCUGACAGUUUCUUAGACUUUAGUUUUUCACGAUACAGACAGUUCUAAGGAGUACUGAGCAGAUGUUUUGUAGAACCUCAUUGGAAUUUAUCUGAUGUUUUUCUCAUCAUGAGAAUAUGGCUGUUUGCUGAGAAGGAACCUAACAGGAUUUUGAGGGUCAUCUAAAAUGUACAGGGGGAAAAAAAAGCCCAUCAAGUAGAUUAUAUAGUCUCACAGUUCUGGAGGCUGACAGACUAAGAUCAGCCUGUUGGGAGCGUUUGUUCCUCCCGAGGGCCAUGAGGCCCGUUCCAGGCCUCUCUCCUUGGCUUGUAGAUGUGUCAAGGGCACAAGGCCCUAUAUGUGUCUGUGUUCAAAUAUCCCGUUCUUAUAGGACAUGCUGAAUUAGGGUUCACCCUUGUGACUUCAUUUUAACUUAAUUACCUCUGUAAAGAUACCAGGGGUUAGGAUUUCAACAUAUGGAUUUGGGGAGGACACAAUUCAACCCCUAACAGCCUCUCUCCAAUCUCCUUGCAAGGUUUCGUCUUGUUUACAAACUUUCAGAUUGGGAUUGAGGGUCCCUAAUGAGUAGGUUUAGAAUACACACAUGCACACAUACACACAUACAAAGAUAGUCUAAGCCUGCUUUUCCCACAUACUGCUUUUUUUUUUAAUGUUUAUUUAUUUUUGAGAGAGAGAAACAGAGCAUGAGCAGGGGAGGAGCAGAGUGAGGAGACACAGAAUCCGAAGCAGGCUCCAGGCU